rnacentral:lncRNA from 1 species
AUCUUGUGAUCCAAUCCAACCAAAUAUCAUUCCACUGACCGGCUUCCUGCCUAUAAAUAGUGUUGCCUCCCCAGCCGUAUGGGCACUAGAAACCCCUUAAGCUGCUAGUCUCGUCUUCUCUGCUCUUCCUACCUUCCUCUAGCUAUAGCAACACCUUGCCCACAUUCCAUGUCUCCAACGGGUGCUUCCGCUCUCAAGGUUGCGGCUAUCGCCGUCUGCCUCGGGCUGGUUCUAUCGUCCAUGAGGCAGCCAGUGUUCGCGCAAACCCAGUCCCAGCAGCAAGCUUGCACCACAACUUGCGCCAGCGCGUGCAAUAUUGUGGCGAAGGCAGCCUGCCCCGGCUUCUGCGCAGGCAACCCAACUCCCACUAAUCCGCUAGCUUGCAACGCCUGCAACACGACGGCCAAUGCAGAUUGCAACAAUCAGUGCGCCCCAGCCUGCUUCCUCAACCCAGAUCCCAACGCUUAAUGUUCAUCAUCCAUGUUCGUGCUGUUGCUUAAGAGCUAAUGUUUACUGAAUAAUUAAGCAUGCCGACUGGGCUGCAUGUAUGUUGUGUUGCUUUCUAUUCUAUUUCCCUUGCAAAUGAUGUAAAGCCGUCGGCCUACUGGCUGGCUGGACUCAUGUAGAAAAUCGCUCCAUGUGAUUGGUGUUCCUUGGGCUUUGUUGAAUUGAAAUCAUGUUGUUAUGUGUUUCAGUAUUAACUUAUCAGCAUCCAUCUCUGUCAAUCUCGAUCACCAUGUUGUGAAAAAGAAGAUUUCCCUCUGCAAAUCUGUGCACACCACAUAAUAUAUAUAUAUAUAUAUAUAUAUAUAUAUAUAUAUAUAUAUUGUUCAUCUUGUUCUAUUAUUUCAUCUUGUUCAGGUCAAUCCAGUAAACUGUACAGUUUGUUACUAUGUUCAAUCGUGUUAUGUGACUAUCAGAAUUAGAAAACAAGCUUCCGAUCAUAUGGAGACAAUUAAAUAUUCCAAGCGAUACAAGCUGCCACUGAUCCAACCCAGAAAUACCACAUUAGGCUUGGUCAUAUAUAUGGCGAUCGAGGUAGAUGAAAAAACGACCCAAGAUUCGAUCAGUCAUAUAGAUGCAAGCUUGCUACUGCAAGCAUUAAUACGAAACAGACUGAAAACUUAUUUAACGGACACUUGAUCUUGUUUUCUUUUCUUUUCCUUUUUCCCUAUACUAUCCUUUAUUCUGUUCUUUAUUCUUCUUCUAAUACCUCUCUAAGUAUUUUUGUCAUGUAUGUAAUCAAUAUCUUUUAAUAAGUAGCAUUCAUCAUUGUUCUUUUAAACGAGUACAUGAUGUUUGUUUUUUCAAUCCUUUUUUAAUACUCUAUUUCAUUUGGUUUUUCCCACGUUACCUAUCCAAUAUUUCUACUUUUUUCUUUUAUUUGGUAUUUCAUAAUUUCUUGACUUAUCCGCUUAUUUCACUUAUUUAUUUAUCUAUUUAUUUACUUAAUUUUAUUCUUGCCUUACUUUAUAUAUUGAAUGUAUCCCUUUAUUUUUUUAAUGUAUUGUAAUAUUUAAGUUGUUCUAUGUUUAAAAUUUUUCCAGCUGCACAAUUCUACAAUUUUGUUCAAAGUGUAUAAUUUUUUAUUCCAUAAUUUCAUCUAAUUUAAUUAAUUCCUUCUCUACAAAUCUUUGUUUCUUGAGUUCACUAUUUUGUUCCAGGUGUAUAAAUGUAUGUUCUGUGUAUAAAUGUACAUUCUGUAAGUCCAUAUAAUUUGUUUCAAUAUACAAAUCUAUGUUUUAUGAGUUCACAUAUCUGUGUAUAAAUGUACAUUUUGUGAGUCCGUAUAAUUUGUUUCGAUAUACAAAUCUAUGUUUUAUGAGUUCACGUAAAUUGUUCCAUAUGUAUAAAUCUUUAUUCUUCAUAUAAUUCGUUCUUGGAGUACAUACCCUAGUUUUGUGAUAUAUGAAAGAAAAUGGAAAGUUACCGAUCAUCACAGUAUACAAACCGAGAGUACGUCUGAAGCUAAGUCCGCAUGAUCGGUAGAAAUCCUUGAAUGAGGUGUGAUCCCCGAUUCUGUAAAUUUUAGCUUACGGCAUUCAUGAGAAGGUCAGAAGUGCUGCAGUCCUAGUUUGGACUUCUGGAUGCGCACUUCGUUGCAUUAUACGACUACUUCAUCGACGUCGAUCGGAUCGACCACUCACGCUUCAUUAAGACUUCCGCUGCGAUGCGAGACGAGCAAAGGUAUAAUCUAUGAUCAUCUUCUCGCAAGUGAUCUUGUUUACGCAGUUAUAUUUUUGUGUGCUAGCGAGUAGCAUACUAAGUUUUCUAACAGAUACUACCUCAUGAAAGCCGUCCAUUUGAGGCCAAAAGGAUUCGAAAUGGAACCUUCCUUUCCCCAGCAAUAAGUCAUUCAGCCCCAAAAUGAGUACUCCAAUUGGCAUCGGUAGGGCCUAUUCCAAUUCAGAAGUCAAGCAGUCACUACCUGCUCCAUUCUGUUCUCUCGGAUUAGUUACUGCAAUGCAAAAGGAUUCAGCAAAGCGAGACUUGACUUUUUCUUUACUAAUGCACCUUCUAAUUUUGCCAGAAAAAAUUAACGACAGAAGCAAUGGGGAUGUGGCUGAUGACCAAUACCAUUGUUACAAGGUAGGGAUUUUGUUACUCUAGUUCGCUGUGAUACCUUUGAAGAAAUUUUGAGCUAGCACUGCCGUAAGUUAUACAUGUGCUUGCGGUUCUUCUAAAUAUCCAGCGAAAUUAAUGAAUAAAUUUGUGGUCAUUAUUACUGAAUCAAAGGGACUGGCCAAAAACUGCAGGAAGAUGUGAACAUCAUGAAGGAUAUUGGAAUGGAUGCGUACAGGUUCUCCAUCUCAUGGACAAGUAUUCUUCCAAGUACUUGAAAUAUCUUCAGAAUGGAUACAAUUGCAACGUCCUCAAAGCCGUGUUCUCUUUUCUGUAUUGUCAAGUAGAAAAUUUUCAUUCUUGAUUCAUGGUUAACAAUAUGAAUGGUCAUUCUACCAAAAUUCGCAGAAUUUUCUUAUUAUAAGCCAACAUACUCCCUCUCUAUUUUUAAAUAUUUGAUGUUAAAGACAUGCUAGAUAGUUCAUAACAUCAUAUCUUUAAGUCUGAUUGGAUGACAGAUGCAAGUUUGAGUGGUGGAGUUAACAGGGAAGGAGUCAAUUAUUACAACAAUUUGAUUAAUGAGCUCUUGUCCAAAGGUAGGUAUUUCAAAUCUUCAGUAUAAUAUAUAUUGAUUCUUUUGCUUUGCAAUAGUUUCAAAGUUGAAUGGAGCACUACAUGUUCAUUGUUAUUCAAGGGGCAUUAUUAUCCACUAGAGAAAUAUUUAUUUGUUUGCAGGUUUGCAGCCAUUUGUGACUAUUUCCACUGGGACUCAUCUCAGGCAUUAGAAGACAAAUACAAAGGGUUUCUUAGUCCUAAUAUAGUGUAAGUCAACUACAUUCAGUUUAGUCCUAAUUUUUUCCUCAAAACUGACGUUAUAAUAACGUGCAUUACUAUACUACUCUGUGAACUAAACGGACUAACAAACAGUAGUUGAGUAUGACAUGAUAAUUUUUUCACAAAUUUUGCAAAAUUUGAGCUGACUGCAGACUUUUCUAUCAUAAACAAACCGUGUCCAGCAUGGAUCCAUGAUUCUGCUUGACUGGACAGGUAUGAGUAGGGGGUUGGUUAUUUUGCUUGUUCGGAUGCUGAUGGGUGCAUAUGCAUCCAUGAUUCUGGAGCCACGCCAAUGGCUAGUUUAUAUAAUUUUAGAGUUGUCCUGAUCUUUAGAUGUGCCAACUUGCAGGCACCAUUCUGAGUUGACAUAUGCAGGGAGGCUAAGCUAGCUUCAGUGGUAAACAAUGUAUGAUGCACUGGCUCAUGAACAGAUUUAUGGGUGAUUUAUUUUCUGAAAAAAAUCUAUAAAUCUGUGCAUGAAGCCAAGCCAAAGUUCAGUGUCAAAUUUAUAUACAUCUAUUUGUUUUUUCCUUCCAUGAUCUUUAAAGAUACUACCAACUUAGAUAUAAACUAUAACCCAGCCAUGAUUGAUGAAGGAAAUCUCUAACCAAAAAAAAGUUUAUAAAACAUCAAACUCAAUAACACAUAGCUCUACGCCGUAAAAGAGCUAUCCUACAGCACCCAAAAAUACUGAAUAAAACACUUAGAUUUACUCAUCAGAUGUCCCAAUUUAGUAAAUCAUGUUUUAGUAAACCUCUUUGUAAAACCAGGUUUUACACGAUCCGACUUUCAUAGUCAACUUCUAGGAAACGUUAUUAUUAAAAAUCUCAGUUUCCAACUCGACAACUUAAAAUGCUGAAGAAUUGUUAUGCAUGGAAUCAAACUUUAUUAUUCCUUUUUUUAACUUGCACAGCUAGCUGACCUACUUGAACCACUUUCACAUCAGUAGUACAAGUACAAUGGAUGGAAAGUGGUACGAGUUCCCAACUCUUUUGAAAUUUCAGAAACAGGUCAAGAGAAAAAGAACGAGAAAUAGGGCGAACAAGUGUGCAAAAUUGUAGGGUAAAUAUUAAAUUAAGACAAUUUCUAUUUUGACUCUGAUGGAGUUGACGAUCUGGGGCAGUAAAUAAAAUAGGUCUAGUACUGGUACGACGCCUUAUUUAUUUGGACCAAACGUCUCAGUUUCUUUCUUUUUUGCAUGCAUCUCUCUCUAUAUAUAUUCUGUACAUGUUACAUGAAGAGAUAAUCUUGUGAUCCAAUCCAACCAAAUAUCAUUCCACUGACCGGCUUCCUGCCUAUAAAUAGUGUUGCCUCCCCAGCCGUAUGGGCACUAGAAACCCCUUAAGCUGCUAGUCUCUUCUUCUCUGCUCUUCCUACCUUCCUCUAGCUAUAGCAACACCUUGCCCACAUUCCAUGUCUCCCACGGGUGCUUCCGCUCUCAAGGUUGCGGCUAUCGCCGUCUGCCUCGGGCUGGUUCUAUCGUCCAUGAGGCAGCCAGUGUUCGCGCAAACCCAGUCCCAGCAGCAAGCUUGCACCACAACUUGCGCCAGCGCGUGCAAUAUUGUGGCGAAGGCAGCCUGCCCCGGCUUCUGCGCAGGCAACCCAACUCCCACUAAUCCGCUAGCUUGCAACGCCUGCAACACGACGGCCAAUGCAGAUUGCAACAAUCAGUGCGCCCCAGCCUGCUUCCUCAACCCAGAUCCCAACGCUUAAUGUUCAUCAUCCAUGUUCGUGCUGUUGCUUAAGAGCUAAUGUUUACUGAAUAAUUAAGCAUGCCGACUGGACUGCAUGUAUGUUGUGUUGCUUUCUAUUCUAUUUCCCUUGCAAAUGAUGUAAAGCCGUCGGCCUACUGGCUGGCUGGACUCAUGUAGAAAAUCGCUCCAUGUGAUUGGUGUUCCUUGGGCUUUGUUGAAUUGAAAUCAUGUUGCUAUGUGUUUCAGUAUUAACUUAUCAGCAUCCAUCUCUGUCAAUCUCGAUCACCAUGUUGUGAAAAAGAAGAUUUCCCUCUGCAAAUCUGUGCACACCACAUAAUAUAUAUAUAUAUAUAUAUAUAUAUAUAUAUAUAUAUAUUGUUCAUCUUGUUCUAUUAUUUCAUCUUGUUCAGGUCAAUCCAGUAAACUGUACAGUUUGUUACUAUGUUCAAUCGUGUUAUGUGACUAUCAGAAUUAGAAAACAAGCUUCCGAUCAUAUGGAGACAAUUAAAUAUUCCAAGCGAUACAAGCUGCCACUGAUCCAACCCAGAAAUACCAUAUUAGGCUUGGUCAUAUAUAUGGCGAUCGAGGUAGAUGAAAAAACGACCCAAGAUUCGAUCAGUCAUAUAGAUGCAAGCUUGCUACUGCAAGCAUUAAUACGAAACAGACUGAAAACUUAUUUAACGGACACUUGAUCUUGUUUUCUUUUCUUUUCCUUUUUCCCUAUACUAUCCUUUAUUCUGUUCUUUAUUCUUCUUCUAAUACCUCUCUAAGUAUUUUUGUCAUGUAUGUAAUCAAUAUCUUUUAAUAAGUAGCAUUCAUCAUUGUUCUUUUAAACGAGUACAUGAUGUUUGUUUUUUCAAUCCUUUUUUAAUACUCUAUUUCAUUUGGUUUUUCCCACGUUACCUAUCCAAUAUUUCUACUUUUUUCUUUUAUUUGGUAUUUCAUAAUUUCUUGACUUAUCCGCUUAUUUCACUUAUUUAUUUAUCUAUUUAUUUACUUAAUUUUAUUCUUGCCUUACUUUAUAUAUUGAAUGUAUCCCUUUAUUUUUUUAAUGUAUUGUAAUAUUUAAGUUGUUCUAUGUUUAAAAUUUUUCCAGCUGCACAAUUCUACAAUUUUGUUCAAAGUGUAUAAUUUUUUAUUCCAUAAUUUCAUCUAAUUUAAUUAAUUCCUUCUCUACAAAUCUUUGUUUCUUGAGUUCACUAUUUUGUUCCAGGUGUAUAAAUGUAUGUUCUGUGUAUAAAUGUACAUUCUGUAAGUCCAUAUAAUUUGUUUCAAUAUACAAAUCUAUGUUUUAUGAGUUCACAUAUCUGUGUAUAAAUGUACAUUUUGUGAGUCCGUAUAAUUUGUUUCGAUAUACAAAUCUAUGUUUUAUGAGUUCACGUAAAUUGUUCCAUAUGUAUAAAUCUUUAUUCUUCAUAUAAUUCGUUCUUGGAGUACAUACCCUAGUUUUGUGAUAUAUGAAAGAAAAUGGAAUGUUACGGAUCAUCACAGUAUACAAACCGAGAGUACGUCUGAAGCUAAGUCCGCAUGAUCGGUAGAAAUCCUUGAAUGAGGUGUGAUCCCCGAUUCUGUAAAUUUUAGCUUACGGCAUUCAUGAGAAGGUCAGAAGUGCUGCAGUCCUAGUUUGGACUUCUGGAUGGAAGCUUCCAUUAUUAUGAUGCUUCUUUCCAAGCAAAUAUUGAUACUUAUCUAGAUCUAAAAAAAAAGAUACUAAUCUAUGGUUUUCACAAGUUGACUGCACACUUUUCACAAGGUUUUUGAAUUUGACCGUUGGCAAAUUUGGUUUGUUUCUAAUCUUCUCCCUAAUUUCUUUUGAUUUGCACUCUUAAACACUAGGAUGUCACAGUGUCGCUCGGUUGCGCACUUCGUUGCAUUAUACGACUACUUCAUCGACGUCGAUCGGAUCGACCACUCACGCUUCAUUAAGACUUCCGCUGCGAUGCGAGACGAGCAAAGGUAUAAUCUAUGAUCAUCUUCUCGCAAGUGAUCUUGUUUACGCAGUUAUAUUUUUGUGUGCUAGCGAGUAGCAUACUAAGUUUUCUAACAGAUACUACCUCAUGAAAGCCGUCCAUUUGAGGCCAAAAGGAUUCGAAAUGGAACCUUCCUUUCCCCAGCAAUAAGUCAUUCAGCCCCAAAAUGAGUACUCCAAUUGGCAUCGGUAGAGCCUAUGUACUCCAAUUCAGAAGUCAAGCAGUCACUACCUGCUCCAUUCUGUUCUCUCGGAUUAGUUACUGCAAUGCAAAAGGAUUCAGCAAAGCGAGACUUGACUUUUUCUUUACUAAUGCACCUUCUAAUUUUGCCAGAAAAAAUUAACGACAGAAGCAAUGGGGAUGUGGCUGAUGACCAAUACCAUUGUUACAAGGUAGGGAUUUUGUUACUCUAGUUCGCUGUGAUACCUUUGAAGAAAUUUUGAGCUAGCACUGCCGUAAGUUAUACAUGUGCUUGCGGUUCUUCUAAAUAUCCAACGAAAUUAAUGAAUAAAUUUGUGGUCAUUAUUACUGAAUCAAAGGGACUGGCCAAAAACUGCAGGAAGAUGUGAACAUCAUGAAGGAUAUUGGAAUGGAUGCGUACAGGUUCUCCAUCUCAUGGACAAGUAUUCUUCCAAGUACUUGAAAUAUCUUCAGAAUGGAUACAAUUGCAACGUCCUCAAAGCCGUGUUCUCUUUUCUGUAUUAUCAAGUAGAAAAUUUUCAUUCUUGAUUCAUGGUUAACAAUAUGAAUGGUCAUUCUACCAAAAUUCGCAGAAUUUUCUUAUUAUAAGCCAACAUACUCCCUCUUUGUUUUUAAAUAUCUGAUGUUAAAGACAUGCUAGAUAGUUCAUAACAUCAUAUAUUUAAGUCUGAUUGGAUGACAGAUGCAAGUUUGAGUGGUGGAGUUAACAGGGAAGGAGUCAAUUAUUACAACAAUUUGAUUAAUGAGCUCUUGUCCAAAGGUAGGUAUUUCAAAUCUUCAGUAUAAUAUAUAUUGAUUCUUUUGCUUUGCAAUAGUUUCAAAGUUGAAUGGAGCACUACAUGUUCAUUGUUAUUCAAGGGGCAUUAUUAUCCACUAGAGAAAUAUUUAUUUGUUUGCAGGUUUGCAGCCAUUUGUGACUAUUUCCACUGGGACUCAUCUCAGGCAUUAGAAGACAAAUACAAAGGGUUUCUUAGUCCUAAUAUAGUGUAAGUCAACUACAUUCAGUUUAGUCCUAAUUUUUUCCUCAAAACUGACGUUAUAAUAACGUGCAUUACUAUACUACUCUGUGAACUAAACGGACUAACAAACAGUAGUCGAGUAUGACAUGACAAUUUCUAUUUUGACUCUGAUGGAGUUGACGAUGUGGGGCAGUAAAUAAAAUAGGUCUAGUACUGGUACGACGCCUUAUUUAUUUGGACCAAACGUCUUAGUUUCUUUCUUUUUUGCAUGCAUCUCUCUCUAUAUAUUCUGUACAUGUUACAUGAAGAAAUAAUCUUGUGAUCCAAUCUGACCAAAUAUCAUUCCACUGACCGGCUUCCUACCUAUAAAUAGUGUUGCCUCCCCAGCCGUAUAGGCACCACAAACCCCUUAAGCUGCUAGUCUCGUCUUCUCUGCUCUUCCUACCUUCCUCUAGCUAUAGCAACACCUUGCCCACAUUCGAUGUCUCCCACGGGUGCUUCCGCUCUCAAGGUUGCGGCUAUCGCCGUCUGCCUCGGGCUGGUUCUGUUGUCCAUGAGGCAGCCAGUGUUCGCGCAAACCCAGUCCCAGCAGCAAGCUUGCACCACAACUUGCGCCAGCGCGUGCAAUAUUGUGGCGAAGGCAGCCUGCCCCGGCUUCUGCGCAGGCAACCCAACUCCCACUAAUCCGCUAGCUUGCAACGCCUGCAACACGACGGCCAAUGCAGAUUGCAACAAUCAGUGCGCCCCCGCCUGCUUCCUCAACCCAGAUCCCAACGCUUAAUGUUUAUCAUCCAUGUCCGUGCUGUUGCUUAAGAGCUAAUGUUUACUGAAUAAUUAAGCAUGCCGACUGGGCUGCAUGUAUGUUGUGUUGCUUUCUGUUCUAUUUCCCUUGCAAAUGAUGUAAAGCCGUCGGCGUACUGGCUGGCUGGCUCAUGUAGAAAAUCGCUUUAUGUGAUUGGUGUUCCUGGGCUUUGAUGAAUUGAAAUCAUAUUGCUAUGUGUUUCAGUAUUAA